UUGAUUUAUGAUUCUAUUAAUGCUGGAGGUUGAUGAUAAUAUUUUUUAACGUACAACCUCACCUUUGUUUGGUAUGUAGCUCAUUAUUCUAGUGCUGAUUUUUUCCCCCUUCUCUAAAUAGGAUACUCAAUGCAUAUUCCAAGGUGCCUACAAAGACAAAAUUAUCUUCUAGGGAAAGGUAACAUUAGUUCUUCAUUCUCAUUGAAAUCAUGAAUGCUGGCAAUUUUCUGUAGGCCGAUGCAAUGAAGUUCAAGUAAAAAAAAUAACUUAGUGCUUGUUUGUCAAAACUAAUAAUUUCUUAUAACUGAUCGACCUCUAUUUUUUCCCCACUUUUGGUAGGACCCACGUGUUUUACCUACUUAUAACCACACGUUCCUCUUGACCCAUUGCUUAUAAUCAAGAGUAAUGCUAUUAUGUUGAUUCAUGAAAGUGGCAUUAAUUGACUUGCCCUAAUGAAUGGAUCUCAUAUCUUUACAUUUAAGAUGACAAGUCAAUUAAUGCCACGUUAUUGACACAGAGAAAUUGCAUUAUGUAUAAUCAAUUAUAAGCUUUGACGAACAUGCACUUAUAUAUUUGAAACUUUGAGACCUUCCCUUAUAUGCAUCUAAGAAUUGAUUCACUGUGAAACAUUGCAUUUUUGGUCUGUUUCUCUGCUUAUAUCGAUCUGGUGUAUUAUUUAGUCAAGCUUGUACUUUAUUAUUUGUGUGAGUUUUGUAUAAAAAGAGGGCAGUUGAGAAUUAUGAGUUCUGCUAUAUUAACACUCGCAAUCUGUCAUUGGUUGGUGGAAAAAUUGUGAUCUUAGAAUUACCGAAAGAAGGAUGUUAACACUCAAAUGACUCACUGGGGCUUCAAACUAUUCCCAUUUUCUGGACCCAGAUCAUUCAAGAUGAUAUUUAUCCUUGAUUCAAUGAGUAGUAGUGCAAUGGAGCUCUUUAUUAUAAAUUCGUUGUGACUAACAUAACAUAUUUUGCUCAAACCAUUGCGUUGUCAUGGUUCUGUUAUCAAUUAACUUUGAGUUUAAAUCCUUGUCCAUAUAUCUUGCUUCCAAGGGUAUGAUUAAUCAGAUCUUUAUAGAGUAAUUAUCUCGAAUGAAAGUUAAAAGAGGACCCGGCUUCCCACUCUCGGAGUGGAGUAAACAUGAAGCAGUCAUUUAACUGGUGAAUUUAUGGAAGCUGUAGAAUUUAUGCUGAGUAAACACUGUUUUCAAUAGUAACCCACGGAAUGGAAUUCUCUGUUACUUGAAGAUUUACUUGCAGAAAACAGAGACUAUAUGGGUCUGCUGAUCAAAUGUGUUUAUGCUUUAUUAAAUAAUUUGUGUUUGUUUCUUCAGAGUCUACCCCGCUUCUUACACCUCUCAAUUAAUGUUGUUACGUGCUAGAUCCAUGUCAUCUAAGCUAUAGGCUUAAGGGGUAACUAGUCUGUCAUAUUUUCCAGUGGGCCUGAAAUAUUAUUUGAGUUACAACUUAACCCCUACACUUCC
rnacentral:lncRNA from 1 species